CCUGAAACGUACCAAUUUAAUGAAAAAAUUAACUUUGAACUGCCAUUAACAGAUUUGGAAAAGUUCAAAGACUUCGAACUUAAAUUGCAAGAAGCCGAUUUUAGGCAGAAAUUCUCAUCAGUCUUAAAGAUCAAUUUUGACCCGAAGCUUAAUGUUAGGAAAAGCGUUACUAACAUAUUAAGAAAGGUUUUGUCAAAAAGCGUUGGACUUCAAUUUGUGACGUCAAAGCAAACUGAGGGAAAACAACUGUUCAAAGAUACUGAGCUAUUCUCUCUUCUUCUUUCUGUUAUUUCUUCUACCCACAAGGAAGGAAAAGAAAAUAAAGAUGCAGUGACCGAGAAAUCUUUAUUAAAAGAAUUAAGCUCUGUUCUCCCAAAUGCAAAAGACUGGGAUGGAGGACGUAGUAGUCGCAAAAAAAAGAUAUUUUAAAAAAUAAAAAUGCAAAAGGAGAAAUUGCAGGCGAAAGAGAAGACGGAGAAAACGAAGAAGACGAAGAAUGUUAAAUAAUAAUCACA